rnacentral:rRNA from 1 species
UACGAAGGGGGCUAGCGUUGCUCGGAAUCACUGGGCGUAAAGCGCACGUAGGCGGGCUUUUAAGUCAGGGGUGAAAUCCUGGAGCUCAACUCCAGAACUGCCUUUGAUACUGAAGAGCUUGAGUUCGGGAGAGGUGAGUGGAACUGCGAGUGUAGAGGUGAAAUUCGUAGAUAUUCGCAAGAACACCAGUGGCGAAGGCGAC